UACAGAGGUCUCAAGCGUUGUUCGGAUUCAUUGGGCGUAAAGGGUGCGUAGGCGGCGCGGUAAGUCGGGUGUGAAAUCUUGGAGCUUAACUCCGAGACUGCAUUCGAUACUGCCGUGCUUGAGGACUGGAGAGGAGACUGGAAUUUACGGUGUAGCGGUGAAAUGCGUAGAUAUCGUAAGGAAGACCAGUGGCGAAGGCGGGUCUCUGGACAGUUCCUGACGCUGAAGCACGAAGGCCAGGGGAGCAAACGGG
rnacentral:rRNA from 1 species